rnacentral:rRNA from 1 species
AUUGAACGCUGGCGGUAUGCUUAACACAUGCAAGUCGAACGGAAACGAUACUAGCUUGCUAGUAGGCGUCGAGUGGCGGACGGGUGAGUAACGCGUAGGAAUCUGCCUGAUAGUGGGGGAUAGCCCGGAGAAAUUCGGAUUAAUACCGCAUAAUCUAUUCGUAGUAAAGUGGGGGACUUUCGAGCCUCACGCUAUCAGAUGAGCCUGCGUAAGAUUAGCUUGUUGGUAGGGUAAAAGCCUACCAAGGCGACGAUCUUUAGCUGGUCUGAGAGGAUGAUCAGCCACAUCGGGACUGAGACACGGCCCGAACUCCUACGGGAGGCAGCAGUGGGGAAUAUUGGACAAUGGGGGCAACCCUGAUCCAGCAAUACCGCGUGUGUGAAGAAGGCCUGAGGGUUGUAAAGCACUUUCAAUUGUGAAGAAAAGUUAGCGGUUAAU